rnacentral:tRNA from 1 species
AUGGCUAAUCUCCAUGUGGAA